ensembl:lincRNA
AGGAGUUAGUGACAAGGAGGGCUCGCGCUUGGGGCUAGUGGGGGGGGCAGUGGCCAGUUCAGGGCUCAGAUGAGAGAGGUGGCAGAGUUAGAGGCAGCCACUAGGAUGGGGGUGCGAGGAGAAGUGGGGCUAAGUAUAAAGGAGACUAGAUUUUGGGACAGUGAUCAUGUGGAAGGCAGCUUCCAAAGCGCCUUUAACAAUCCACACAGGGCCAGCAGCCUUCAAGACCAGGCUAUCCCUGCGGUCUGCUGGCAUGGGGGCACUUGACGUCCAGGAGGACAUAAGUGUCACAGGCCUACAUAGGGACAGUGUCCUAGCUUGAGUGGCAGAGCAGCAGUUGGUGAAGACGGGUGGACUGGGGGCCCUUGAGGCCCCAGAAAUCAUAGUGGGCAGGCGGCGGGGCAGGACUAGGUGCGGAGUGGAGCUCGCCUUUGAUCUUGACAAUACCAGCAGACCCCUUUUUUUUCCAGAUAAGGGGUUCUGAACCCACCUGGGGAUGAGGCCUGGUCUUAUGGAAGGUGGACUUAGCUUCGCUGGGCAGACAGCUCUGGCCCAGGGUGGUAUGUAAUUUGGGUGUGGCCUGUCCGCACCCACUUCUGGGUGCGAGGGGAGGCCGUGCAGAGACAAGGAGUUGUUUUUACUGACAGGUGUGCCAAGGCGGGGACCAUGGAGAUUGAAGGCGCACGUCUUGGGGCCACAUUAAUCACAACUUUAUUUUUCAGAUAGCAGUGCCCUCUUUGGACUUUGUCUAGGUCCCGUGCUUCCUCUUCUGUGGUCUCACUCUUCCCUACUCUUCCUCCUCAUUCUGAGGUUAAGGGGUCACUUAAAACCUUGCGUCCGGGUCAUCUGGUAAACCUGAGGAAGACGUAGAGUUGGUGCUGGAGUCUUGGGCACGGCAUUUUGGUAUUACUGGUAAAGGUGGAGGACACCCUGACUGGGCGGGAAGGGUUGGUGUUGAUUCACAGAGGGUGGGACAUGAAUGCUACCCUUGGGUGGGCGCACAGCCGUGGUUCCAGUCACCCAAAUGCUUCAUGGACGUGGUUUAUCACUAUAGUGUUCACCAUGGCAAGCAGAAGGCACCAGGAGAAAUGGAGCCCCUGCCAGUGUGAGUCGUAGCAGUGCAGGAGGGCCCGCCCUGGAGGAGACAGCGGCCUCAGUUGACGCCUACACAGUGAAUCCCUGAGGCUUAGGAAACGCGUCUCUGCCCUGGGUCCAGGCCUUUCUCAGGAAGCCCUGUGUUCAGGAGGUCAUCGUUGAAGUCAGCUUGUAGGGGGUGGGCAGGGGCUUCCAACUGGAGGGGCCGUCGGCUGUGAAUGUCCCAGAGGAAUGUCUUGUUCCGGGAGCAUCAUUCUUUGCGGAUGCAUGAAUGCCAGCAGGCACCCCUUUUCCUGGGGGUAGAGGCAUUCGGCUGCUGCACCUUCUAAACAAGCCUGCACCCGGCCUUUCUAGUUCUGUGCUGCGAACUUGGCCUGGAGAAGAUUGCAGUAAGGUGUAGGACACUUAACUUCUGCGCAGCGUGCUGCCCUGUAGAUCGGGAGCCCAGUGACCUCGCCCACCUUCCCUGCUUCUGCAGCCUGCCUGCCUCUGCAUUGGUCAGAGGGAUUCUUAACUGAAAACUUCUGGGUGUUGGGGAAAGCUGUUGGGUGUGGGAGUCUUAGAUGGAGUUGGUUGUUAAAUGGGUAGGGUUUGUGUUUUAAAAGUGUGGGAAGGCACAAGUUAGCCACAAAUUCUGUCGAGGUGAUAGAUGCCAUAUCUAAUUUGGGCUUUGGGACGUCUUCUGAACUAAGAAGGGAACCGUGGGCCAGCAGUGGUCCCUGGGAAUGGUCUCUCCGUGGGUGUGGAUUUGGUACUGGGUGGUUGAGUGGCACCCGUGGUUCUGGUCCCUUUUGUUCAUUAGCUUUUAUGACUUGGGGCCUGGCUGGCCUGGGUUCUCAGCUCUGCUCGGAUGACAGGUGUCCUCUAAAACAUGGCCUUCUAAGGUGAAACCUGAGUUACUGGAUCAAGCUUGGGAGUACUUUUGGCACCAGAUGUGGGGCUUAGGGGAGAAAGCAGAGCUCAGCUUGGCACUGGUGGAUUGAAGGAGUCGGGGUGCCGGUGAGGGGUGUGCCUGGAACUGUGGGUUGAUGGGAAUAACAGUUUGGGAACUAAAUAGUUCACAUGAAAACCUAAAGGCUGAUGGUAAAUCCUUACUGCUGGUGUCACUACUUUGAGAUGCAGAGACAGUUCUUUGGAAAAUACCAAAAUCCUGCAAGGGGAAAAGCAAAAUUGUUUUGCUUCAGUGUUGAAUGGGGAAGGGGGAUGUUGAAAAGCUUUUCUUAGUUACUCAAUAGAUGGUGUCGCUACCCUGACCCAGGCGGGCCUGUGGUCAUGGGGUGGAGCCUGGCGCAGAGGAGCUGAUUACCAAAAAGUGAAGCUGGGGAGGGCUUAUAAAUGCCUCCGUGUGGGCUCUGAAACCAUUGUAUGGGAGGUUGGCAGACUCUUCCGGGUCUCUAUUGAAAUUCUGUCAUACUGUGUGAUUAAGAAUUCCAAUGCUGCUAUCUAAAGGAAUUUCAUAUGGGAGUCAUGCCUUAUACAACACAUACAGGAAUUUAGUGUGUGAGCCAUGCCUUCAAAACACAUCUUGAAUUUCUGGAAUUGGCCAGAAGACAACAGGGCUUGUUAUUUAACCUUUCAAAUCAGUCAUUGUGACAUUGUGACCGUCUUGCACUUGCUAUGAGAUCAUUGUGUUGCUUGUAGAAACCUCAUCCGUGUACUUUGCCAAGGCUGCACUGAAUACAUACAUUGUGGGUUUGGCUUGAAUGGUGCUUUAAAUCCAUCCCUGAGCAGAGGGGAAACUUGUUAACUGUCAGUCAAAGCAGUUUGGGAAAUAAAAGUGAGACUGGGCCCGGGGGGUCAUCUUACUAGAUAACACUUUGUAAAACUUGGCUCUGAAAACCCUGUUUAUUUGCGUAUUUGUGAAAACCCUGUAUAUGUGGUUGUUUUAUGAGUGUGCUUAAAAGUGGUGUGACCCGGGCAUGAUCGCUCAUUGGAACAGCUGUGUGGAAUGGGGAAAUGUGAAGAAAGCUGUAACUGCAGGUCCGCCGCACCCGCUUCUCUGUACUAAAGUGUUCAGUGUACAAACCCACUAAUCAUUUUUCUCCCCUUUACAGCAAAAUAAAAGUUUGAGAUUGAAGCUCCUUAGAAUUGUCAUGGCUGUUACAUUCUCGACCUCUGUCACUUUGCCUUCAUAUAGUUAGGCCUAGACGCACUGCACCAUGGAAGCAGUUAGAGCAGGUCUGGUCUAAGCAGCCUGUCAACUCUCUGGGAGGGAAGGACUGCUCACUGGGAGCUGACAAUGGCUGCAGACAUGACACUGAGUCACAUGGGAUAAUGGCACUGCAGGUAAGGGAGUAUUCUGAACAUGAUCUAGAACAUAUUCCAAACAGUAUGGUUUUUUAGUUUGGGAAAAAAUGUCUUAAUAUGGUAUGAGCUUUUCAUAUUCUACCUUGGAAGCUGGUGUGGGCUUGAGAUUUCAGUCUGUACAUGCAAUUCUGUCUGCCCGAGGAGGGCUGGGGCUUCUUUUGUCUUUUGGUACAUGACGAAAGUUUUUUUUUUUUUUAAAAAAACUGUGGGAAGGGUGUGGUCAGAAGCCUGGGGAAUCCAGGGAGUGGGCCAUGCCUGUAAACAGUCCUGGGUAGAACUCCGCCAGCCUCUGCUAGGACUGUAGCCUGCUUGCUGAGGGCAGAGUGUAGCCUGUGGCUCUGUAUGGAACUGUUGUCUUGGCAAGAAUGAGUCUUGAACUGGAGUAGGCUGGAGACCACGUAGAGGGUGGGAAGUGUCUUACUCUGCCCUGAGAGCCGCCAGGCUGGCUGUGUGCCCAGAUCCUGUGUGUUGUAUUGUUCUUGGUCAGUCUGUCAGUGACCUCUCACUUGUGCUGAGAAGUCAGAAUGGGGUGUCCCAGCAGCGCUCUGUCUAGGCUUCUGGGACUCCAAGGGUUAAGUGCUGCUACAGCAGAUGAGGGGGCAUCCCUUCACCCACACUUUUUUUCCUUUUUACCUAUUUUGGUACUUUGAGAAAAGGUUUCACUAUAUAACUCAGACUGGACUAGAAUUCAAAGAUCCACUAAUGACUGCCUCCCAGAUGUGUCUGGGAUUAGAGCUGUGCGCCAGUGCGCCAGUGCGCCGCCACACCUGUCUACCUGCCUGUCUCUGGUUUAUCCCUGCGUCAUUCUGGCUUCCUACCUGGUUUCUGCACCUCCAUUUUCCUCUUAUUGGGACCUUUUGGGUUUUAUAUUUACAAAGUUCUCCAUGUUGUGUCAGCAGUCUGGUAAGGGAUGUAUCCCCAGCUGUGUUAGAAAUGGCUCACUAACAAACCAAAGGCUGGGCUCUCCUGUGUAAGACUUGUAGGACUUGACUUGAGUUUAUUGUUUUGAGACAUUCUUACUCUGUAGCCCAGGGUGGUAUGAAACUCAUAAUAAUCCUCCCUUAGCCUUGCGAGUGUUGGGAACACAGAUGUGAGCCACAUGUCCUACAAACACUGCUUUUAGGAUGUCCAGCCACCAGAAGGACCUUUAAUGUAGCUUAUGUCUGCAUUGCUGAGGGCCUGCGGAAGCAUUAACUGAGGUCGUGUCCAUGCCUUAGAUGCUGUUGCUGAAGCAAGUAAUGUAGGGGCUUCUGACAGGUUAGUAUUUGUAUGUCCUUCCCAAAAUCUGGAUGCAAAUAGGAUUGUCAGGAAGAGAACAAAACCAAAAUAAGGUAUCCGGUGGGAUCCUGAGUCCUCCUGGGACAGGUUGCCCCCUCGCACCUGUGCUAGACUGCUGAGGGCAACUGUCACCUGCCUCCACCCUUCCCACAUCUCUUCUCAGUGGUUUCUUACUGCGUUCUCAAGCAUAAAAAAGAUUGAACUGUAAGUUUUGCAGAAAAUCAAAUGGGGAAAACAUUCUUUUCCGUUAACAAGUGUUACCAGCAUAUAUGUCUCAGAUUUUUCUCUUCCUGGGCAUCAGCUACAUGUAUAUGUUUUACAACAGUGGGAUUGCACCUUGGUUCUGUCCAUGAUGCAUAGUGAGAACUGUGUCCUGACAUUGAAAGCAUCCUUUUAGUAGUUCCAAAUGUUCUACUGCAUUGCUGACUGUUUAAACAAUCCCAUUUACACACGGACACGUGUGGAGGGAGAGGAUAACUUUCUGGAGCUGGGUGCAGCUUAUGCAACACGAGCUGUCCGCUCUGGGCAGGCACGCCAGCCUGCCUUCUGCUGUUGGCUUCCUUUUGGGAAAUGAUGGUUUAGUGACUGACUUGUUGCUCAAGCUACUUCACCUCUGUUACUCCUUGGAGAUAUUAAAAUCAGUUUCUAGAAUAAAACGACUGUCAAAUUUUCUUAACUUUAGGCUCACAGUGCUCAGUUGCUGUCCAGAAGGGAUUUUUCUGAGUUAGUGUUCUGUAAACAUUUCUGUGAAGCUGGUGUGUGCGUAGAGUAGUGUGGCUGGCCAGUAUACAUGGGCAGUGUUAGGAUUCCAACUUCCCUGUGUGUAUAUACAUACCAUUUGCUCACAGAGUGUCCUUAACAUAAUUAUUUCAAUUGAUUGGAUGGUUGAUUGAUUGCCAUUAUAAUAUUUUGUGGUCAGAUACACUCAGCAGAAACUUUAGCCAUUGUAAGUCCAGUUUAGUGGUGUUUAGCAGAUUGGAGUUGGACAACUGGCCUCAAGACCUUGCAAAACCUGAAACGACCCAUUAGGCAACUUAAAAUGUGGGCUUCCCAGUCCCUUUCUCUGAGUGGCUACUUGUAUAUAGGCUCAUAGUGUUUCUCUUGUAUUAGUUAUUUUCAGUGUCAGGCUUGUGUGUGGAGGUCAGAGAUCCCAGGGGUCAACCUCAGCCAUCAGGUUUGUGCCGCCGGCAACUUUAUCCUCUGUAAUCCAGCAUUGAUCUUGUUGAUUGUGUGGUUCUCUUUGCUUUCAUACAAGCUAAGUAAUUGGUAUUUUGUACCUUUUUCAGCAUCUGUGUGCUGACAAGCAUAUGCAUAUUGUCCCUGCCUGUGGGCCUCUUAUUCUCGUGACUUCCCUGCUAUGAGAUGCAUGGGUGGAUAGAUGUAGAUAUCUUUCUGAGAACGCAUCUUCAGCUGUUUAGGAUACAGCACAGACAUCCUGAUGGUUGUAGGGUGACAAGACAUUCACUGUGGUCUCCCACUCUGUAUGCCUAUUGGCCAUGUCCUUGGAGUCCGUUUUAUGCUUAAAAGGCUACGGAUUUGUUAACCGUUGUUGACCUGCAGGAUUUGGCUGCCUUCUGGGUAUUAGCUCUGUGAUCAGCUAUGACUUGGCUGAUAUCUUCUCCCACUCCAUAAAGAUGCCUGCCGAGCUGUUUUUCUUUAUAGUUACAUGUAUUAUUUUUUGUGUGCGUUUGUGCGUGAUUCCACUCAUCAUGUCUGUGUCACAGCACUCCUGAAGGUCCGAGGACAGCUUGCGAGACUCAGUCUUUCCUUCCACCCUGCGUAUCUGAGAGGUUGAAUAUAAUUGUCCAUCAGGUUUGGCAGCCAACGCCUUUACCCACAGAGCCAUCUUCUCAGCCCAAGUUUUAAACUGUGGCGUUGCUAGUGUGUGUUUGCUUUUGUUGCCUGUACUUUUGGUGUCAUAUCUAAGAAAUCAUCGCCGGAUCCAACAUCAGAAAGUCUGUAUUGUUCCUUGGUUUUCUGUUAUUGUUUUGUUUUAAAAACACUAGGCAAGUACUCUACCACUGAGCUACAGCCUCAGACCUUAAAAGUGUCUUGUCUUAAUCUACAUUUCUGUAACUGUUGGCUAGUCACGAGUUUUACAGUUUAACCCACUGUCUGUAUUUUCCAUCUUCAGCCACAAGGACCUUGCAGUGUUUGUAUUUAAGAGGGUUAGCUUGGACCAGUUCUAUCAAAUAUAUCUCCUUAUUUUCUCAGUUAUUAAGACCAAGAUAUAUAUGAUGUACAAGGAUUUAAGCCAUCUUAUUCUGACGAUAGCUGAUAAGUUGCUUGGAUUGAUUCUCAUUUUUCUUCAGUUGUUCAUGUCUGGCUUGCCCUGUGGACAGAGAUAUUCUUCUCACGCAAGCGGUUUCCUCCCACUGCUAGGAAUGAUGCUAAGCUAUUGCUCCACUUUCCCCAAUACCAGUCUUUCAUAAUCAUGUGUCUAAAGCAUUGGACAUUUUAGGCUCUAGUUUUUGUUUUUACAAAUAAAAUAACAAUCUUGACUGUCCUGUUUAGGAUCUGGUAGGAAGGUCUGCUGACAUCAUCAGUAUCCUGUCCUCGUUGGACCUUGAAUGCACAAACUGAACGAAUCUUAGUCUCUGGCUCAUAGUGGUUCUUUCAUUGCUUCCUUAUUUUUAAUCAUUUGUCAACAUGUUUGACUCUUCCAUCGAUAUGAAAAGUAGCUUGCUCCCUUCAUCUGUCAGGCUGAUACCAUGCUAAAAGUCCUUACCCAGGGAAAUCUUCAGAGCAGACACUUUGCUGUUUGUAACUCGGUAGAAGAAUUAAAUUGCUCAUGAUCUUCUGGAACAUUUAUUUUAAAUUGAUGGAAUUUAUCUGCUGCUGUGUACAGAACUCCUUGACACCCAUGCCAGUGACAAGGCUGCCUCUUUUAUAACCUGAGGAGUAACUCAGACAGAAGCUGACCAAGCACUCACACACAACCCAGAGGUAACUUUUAUCACUGACAACACAGGACAAGCUGUGUUCUGCUGAGAUAGGCUGCAUCCCUUUCUUCUGUAGAAUGUCUCAGGAUGACAUGGCUGCACUUAGCGGUGUGGGGGGUGGGGUGGGGGCUCUGAACACACAGCUGCCCUUUCUUACCCUGGCAGUGCCAACUGCACGUUAAAUUUCAGUCUUCCUGCCAGCCAUGAAGGUGUGUCCCCUCUGUGUCAGGGAUCUACAGCUGUACUAUGAGAUUGUGUUCUCGGCAAUCCCCUGUGCCCCUGCAUCUCUGUGGGUAGCAGUUGUGGGUCAGACAACUGCGGUGUUCUGUAGCCCUCUGCAGUGACAGCAGGCCUGGGGGCGUUGAGUGUAAGAGUCCUUGUUGGUAUGUCUUAGGCACUUUGCAUAUGGAACUUCAUGUUUCUGUCAGGUGUUUUCUUGGCUCUGUCACAUGUUCACAGUGGCCCAUGGAGACUACUUGGUUUGUGAGAUUCUUGUCAUCUAUGUGUAUAAAUUUGAUAUCCAUGGCUUAGUUAUGAUUGGGACCCCAAGGUCUAAGACACAAAAGAGUAUGACUUUGCAAAGGUCUAAGUUAUGCUGUCCUGAGACUACUGAACUUUUCCUCUGCUAUCCUUGCAUCAGAGUGGCUCUUCUAAGGAGGCCGAAGCUUUGCAGAUUUAAGGUAAGCCUGGGCAAUGCUUCUGUAAGUACUGUUUAAUGGAUAGGGCUGUAUACUACAAUUGUAGUAACUUUCAUAAGUGACUAGUCAUGAACUUGGGAGUAAAAUACUUAGAAACCACAGUAUGUUAUCUUGAUGUCCCUCUCCUGUGUCUGGUGCCAGGAUUUCUAUUCUAAGAUGAAGUUAUAUUCUAUGAAAUUACCUAAUAUUAAUCUGUUUUUAAGUGAAAUUAUGUAAUAUGUACAUACUGUUUUUAUAACUCCAUAAUAUUUUGUCUUAUCAUGUAGACCCAGUUAUUUUGACCCUUUUCCUACUGAUGCCUUCAAGCUAUUCCAGGGAUUUCUGGUCAUUGCAAGCAGUGGUCACUGAGUUUUUAUUCCUUGGGACACUGAUGAAGCCAGGCCUGAAGGAGGCCAAGGGCUCCCAACUAUAGCUUCAGGCUCUCAGGAAUGCUCUGACUCUCCACUCUUGAGUCUCAAGACUGUUUUGUUCAGUGGUUAGCGUUUCUGCAGCCAAAAUCAACUUCUGGUCCUCCCCCCCUUCCCCCCCCCAGCCAUGAGGUUCUGUUAGCGCUGGUUGGUGCCUGCACUUCAUGUCCCUACCAGAACUUGGAAUGAUAAUGGAUUCUGGGUCGCAGGCAGCUUUCUGGUUCUUACCUUAUGUAGUUUAAAAUCAAAAGCCGAACCAGGCAUGAUGAUAGGCCGCCCUGGGGCAGUGGAAGCAGGAGGAUCCCAGGUUUGAGGCCAGCCUCUGCUCUGCAGCCCGGGCUAUAACAAACCUUCGUGAGGACAGCUAUAAUGCUUGGGAAAGCUACAUUCAAUCCAGUCUUGCUAGUUCCUUCAGUACUCCCACACCACUUUCUAGAUUAAGGGUACUCUGUCCUCGAAGGCCAUCAAGUGCCCAGGGAACAGGUGUGAGCUCUCUCUGUCUCGUCCUUGCCUCCCAGGGUCCCUGGUGGGGCCAGCUUCUGUCUGGCAGCCUCUUCCUCCACAGCAGCUUAUGCUGGGCUUCUCCCUUCACUCUAGUGACCAAUGUACUGUCCCCUCUGCUGACUGUGUGACCCCACAGCAUGUUCCCUCCAGCUUUUGCCCCUUAUACACACAGGGAAUGUUUAAAGUGAUACUUGUUCAUGUUAAAACUGCAAAUGUGUAGGUGACCUCUUGCUUUCCACGGUGGGUAGCAUGCAGGCUCGCCACACCUUGUCUUGCACUCCGGACUGUUGGGCCUACAGAACUGUAGCCACAUUUGAACUACCCAUUCCUGUUCGGGGGAACAACUGAACUGUUUCUAGCAACAGAGUGUAUAUUACAAAGUAUUAAUAUCUAUUUUCAUGUGUCUUCAUGUGUCUAGGCAAGUAUGCCCAUGGGGGAGCAUGGGAACACAAGGAUGCACCAGCUAGUCUUCUGUAAGAUGCUUCCGGUUGGCCUUUGCCCACACCUUUACCAAUGCUUGUCCCUAAACCUGGGUAUUCGUCAAUGUGAGAAGUGAAGGGUAACUCUCAGUUGUAGCUUUAAUUGGUAUGUUUAUUGAUUUAAAGUGUUCUUUACAUAUUAAGGAAAGUAACCAUUUGUGUUGCAAACACUUCUGAUCCUCUCUGACUUUUAUAGUUUAUGACACUUUGCUGUUGAGCAUUUUAAAUAUACAAAUGUACUUGUUUAUUGGUAUUUUUUUCUGCAUUUUAUGAUGAGCUCAGAAAGCUUGGCCUAAUUUAACACUGUCCUUUGAAUCUCAUGCUUUUUUUUUUUCUGUCAGUCCUAUCUGGACUUUGUAACGAGUGACGUGUGAGUAGGAAGCCUCUUGUUGCUACACAUAACCCAGGUCACAGCCACCAGGCAGCGGCUGCCUGCCAUGUUUCUGCGUCAGUUCCAAGCCCAAGUGCCGCAGUCCGUGCUUUGCUAUAUGGUGAGGGCAGUCCUGCCCCUAACGCAGCUCUUCUCUAGUUCCCUGGUUACUCAUGUGAGUGCUCAGCUGUCCCAAGGUGUCUUGAUUGCCUUCCUGUACAAGAAUAAGGUAUCUUACUCUGUUUUCCACCAGUGGCUUAACCUAACCUGACUGAAACGUUUCUUACACGUGUGCAUGUAUGCCGGUGCAGGGUAAAGGUCAGACGGCGGUGUUGUUGGAUUUAGUCUCCCUUCUACCACUUGGCUCUGGGGAUAGAGCUGAGGUUGGCAGGCUUGGCGGCCAGCAAGAUGAGAUGACGUGUGUGACCAGGUCAGGUGUGGUGGUGCAAGUCUUUAAUCCCGGUACUCAGGAGGCAGAGGCAGGCAGAUCUCUGAGUUCAAGGUCAGCCUGGUCUACAGAGUGAGUUCCAGGACAACUAGGGCUACGUAAAGAGACCCUGUCUCAAAAAAUAAACAAAAAAAGUAUGUGAUCAGUAGUGUUAGCCUGUGCAGUUAAGAGGAUCUUGACCAGGGGACCUGUGUCUGGAUGUCUUACCCUGCCCUGCAGGUCCUAUCCCUUCCAAAACAGGUGCUAAUAUCACAGAAUACUUUUUUUUUUUAAGUUACAUUUGCUUGGGGGAGGGGAGCAGUUCUAAGUUCCAUGAGGCACAUAUGGAGGUCAAAGAACAACUUGCCGAUGUCUCUUCUCUCCUUCCAUCGUGUGGGUAGUAGGAAUUGAAUCAGGUUAUCCAUCUUGGGGCAAGCCCCUGUAGUUGCUGGGGCAUCUCUGUGGCCCACAGAGCACUUAUAGUAUGUGGUUACUUGUUGCUGUCACAUUGUCAGUGUACAGCUUGGGGGCCUUUGUCACCGAUGUGCUCUGCUAUUCUGUUCUGGUAAAAAUGUUGAUGAGUUUACACAAAUCUAGUAAAUUGAACCCAAGAGCCAAGUGUGGUGGUGUACCCUUAAUUCUAGCACUUUGGGGACAAAUUCAGGUAGUUCUCUGAAUUUGAGGGCCGCCUGGCCUGCAUAGUGAGUUCCGUGGCUGCGUAGUCUCAAAAGAACACCAACACCCCUUCCCCCACAGAUAGAAUUGUACUGAAGGUCACAGAGAAAGCAUCUCAAGGAGGGCUGCUCUGAGCCCUCCCUGUGCACUUCUGGAGACCCAGCCCUGGUGUCUAAGUGGAGUCUGAUUUCAGCACCUGAUGCUGUGCUCCACCCAGACCCGCCUUUUCCUCAUCAGCAUGCUAGAACUUUGAACAAAAUGGUACUUAAUUAUAGUUGUGAUUGGUAUGUUUAUUGAUUUAAAGUGUUCUUUCCAUUUUAAGGAAACUAACCAUUUGUGUUGCAAACAGUUCUGGUCCUCUCUGACUUUUAUAAUUUAUGACACUUUGCUGUUGAGUAUUUUAAAUAUACAAAUGUACAUGUUUCUUGGCAUUUUUCUUGCUUUUUUGAAUUUUAUAAGGAGCUCAGCAAACUUGCUCUAAUUCAAGACUUUAUUUGGUGAACCCGGUGCUUUGUUUGCCCGACUUCUUUGGCUCAAUCUGGACUCAAGCUGGUGUGAUGACUGCGGUCAGGAAACCUGAAGUGGCUACACAUUUACUGAGUGAUACAGGACAAAAUGGACUGCAUGCUGGCCGGCUGUGUUUGGUGUGGGGAUGGGGCCAGGACUCACUAGCUGUAACAUCUGGAACAUGUUACAUGUCUGUCCAUGUCAGCCUUCUGCUUCAUCUGUGGACACUUCUGUCUGUCUGUUCUACAGAAUGGUUUUUAGGUUUGCAGUUUGUCGUUUAAGACCUCAGCAAGUCUUUGGAUCAGUCCUGGCAGGUUUUGCUGUCACCGUGUCAUGCAUAUCACACGUUCUUUUGGAUCCAUUUUGACGUUCAACCCUUUCAGCUUCCAGAGGCUGUUUUGGUGUGUCCCGUGCGGUAAGACUCUAAUCUGGCUGUUUUAGAUGGCUGCUCUCCUCAGCAUCCCUUUGUUGGCUGGAGCUGCCUUUCCCUAGGCUACCCUGAGCCCUUUUCACGUCAUACUGUUUGAAUACAUCCUGAUACGGAUGCCUGUCACUGCUGAAGGGUUCAGUGACCUGUGGUCACACAGCGUGUUCAGGUCACAGGCAGCUGAUGACUCGGCUCAUGUGUGUUCAGGGUUCCUCGGACCUGGGGCCAUGAGCAGGACAGGAGAGGGACCUUGGAGUUUUCUUUAUCAGCAAUCCUGCCUCAGCAAAAGAAGAUCAGCCAACACCUCGUUGCUACCCAGAUCUCUUGGCAAACAGACAUUUUCAGGAGGACAGAAACAAGGCUGCUUCAUGUAGGCAUUGUAUACUCAUAAGAUUUGUUCCCUGAAAUGACGCGUGGCUGGUUGUGGUUUUUCUGUCAAAGUGUCUGAUAAUGUUAACUCAUGAAAAGACAUGUCCACCCGUACUCUGUCUUAAAUGUAGUCACCGGCUUCCCCACAAAGGCCACUGGGGAUGCAAACGGCAUACUGGCCAGAAAGACACUGUCAGGACACCAGCUCUCACCCUGGUCUUACCUCAUGACCCUCCUGCUCCCUCGACUUUCCUGUGGAUAAGAAGGGCUGAUCAUUCUGCCUUGGACUUGAGUUAGGGCUAAAGAAAUAACACACUGCUUGGCACUCCUGACCUGGGAUAGGCCUGUCCUUGUAGGGUUUCCAGCCAGGAACAGUUGUCUCUGGUGGGUGUGUCCCAUGGGACCCAUCCAUCUCCCAUGCAUCUCUCCUGUUUUGUUAGCAUUUGCUACAUUUAAUUCACUGAGAAACCGUGAACAUUAUAGCUGUGUUCCACACAGCCCACCAGUGGAAUCCUUCAACAGAUGAAGCAGGAUUGUACUGGCCCUGGGAGCCGAGUGCAGACCCGACUUGAUGAUGCUUUAAGAGGCCUUUGUUCUGUUUGGUGCACAGGAUGAGCUGGAGUGAUCUGCUUGUAGGUUUGUCUGUUUUGUUGUUGUUUUUGCUUAUAGGGUUUUAAAGUUUAAAUAGUUAUAUAUUUCAAUGUUCCUUUUUUUAUUUUGGUAAAACUAUGAAGUUUCCUUUUUAAAUGUUAAUUUUUAGGGAAAUUGACUUAUAACAUGCCUCCAAAAUCUGUGACUUUGAGGUAGCAGUUCUGUGGUUGGUAUAUGUGAUAUUGUGAGCUGUUGACUCGUUCAUUACUGCAGGUGGUGGCUCUGUCCUCACAGCUUCCUAUCUGACCUUCCUCCCCACCCCCAUGGCCUUUAUGCUUGCCACCCUGUGAACCUGCCUGUACUUGGUCCCUCAUGUAAGUGUAAUGCAUCUGUCUCUUUGUGUCUGUCUCACCUCACGUGGCGUGGUAUCUGUGGAAGUGUAUGAUAUUUUUAUUCCUCACUGUGGCUGAAUAAUAUUCCAUGCAUUGCUUUAGCACAUUUCAUUUCGUUUCUCCGUCCCAUUGCAGGUUUGAAGUGUUUCUGCUUAUUUCCUGAUGCAAACAAUGCUGCUAUGAACAUGUGUGUUCAAGUCUUUAUGCAAACGUGUUUUCCAUAGUUUAUGUACAUAGAGAAGAGCUACUACUUCCAGACGGUACAGUAGUUUAACUGGAUCUGAGGAGCUGCCAUUGUGUCCCGCGCUGCCCCUGUUGACUGACUACCUCUGCCUUGAGGCCCUGCCUCUGCUGAUCCUUUUUUUCAAGUAGGUUCUUACUGGUGCGUGCGUGUGUGUGUGUGUGUGUGUGUGUAUGUGUGUGUGUGUGUGGUGUUCUCCCCUCCCUUUUUUCAAGACAGGUCUUCUCUGUAUAAUAGCCCUGGCUGUUCUAGAACUUGCUUUGUAAACCAGGCUGGCCAAGAACUCAAGAGAUCUUCCUGCCUCUGCCUCCUGAUGCUGGGAUUAAAGGCGUGCUCCGCCACCACCCUGCUGAACCCAAGGCCUCUCGAUUGGCAGGCAAACAUUCUGCCAGUGAGCCACAUCCCUGGGUAGUGUCUUUCACUGUAAUUAAUAUAUACAUUGUGUGUACAUGCAUGUGGGGGCAGAGGACAAUAAUUAAUGUAUAUAUUGUAUGUAUACUCGUGUUGGGACAGAGGACAACUUGUGGGAAGCGAUUUUCCUCCGCCACACGGUUCAGAGAUCAAACACAGGUCGUCAGGCUUUGCAGGUGUGUCACCUACUAAGCUCUGUCACUGGCCGCAUCCAUGUGUUACAAGUAAUUUGAAGGCUAUGAAUGUAGCUCAUAUAGUAGAGAGCUUGCCUACUGCUUUCCCUCCACAAGAAUUAAAAAGCGACCCUACUGUAGAGGAAGCCAACAACUGACUGCUUCAGGUUCCAUGCUGCUGUGUCAGACCACAGGUCCACAGGUCAUAGUGAGGAAAGGCAGCACCUGUGUCCCAGUGAGGUGAGCAUGACAUGGCUUUGUGAAGUCAUCUACUUGUUUUCUCGAUUGAUCAGAAGAUUUUAAUUUUUAUUAAUGAUGUUAGAUUUAUUCAGUUAUUCAGCUUUCUUGUGCUCUUUUUUUUUUCUUUUGAAAGAAGGGUGUUAUUAGUUAAAUGGCGGUGUCUUCUGGGUUGCUGGGCCUGCUGUUGUGAGGAGCUAGGUUAUGGAAGGAUCACACACUGUCUUGAUGCCCUGGAAGACCUGGGCUCCUUCUAUAUGCCCCCCAUCCUCUUUUCAGACCCCACUUCUGGAGUCGAGCAAAGACAAUUUCCCGCCCAUCAUCUGGGCUCCAUGUGAGACCCUGGAUCCCUGAACUGAGCCUAUCGCUGGUCCUCAGAAUGCUGGAGGGUUUCUGUGGCCUUCAUGGGCCUUAACACUGAACCGUACACUCAGCAGGGCACCCAGUGCUCACUCUGGCUGUGGGUGAGCACCUUGACUAUGAGACUUGGGAGUGUUGUGGCUGUAAGAAAGAUCUGUCUUUCUGCAAAUGUCUGCCCCCUGAGCUUAACCAGUGCUCCAGAGAGCAGCUUUCCACCCUUCCAUAUUCAGACAUGCGCUUGACCCCGCAGACACGAUGCUGAGUUAACAUCCAGUACUUCAAAUAUGUGCCUUCUAGAGCAACAACUGAGCUGGGGCAUAAGGCUGUAAGUACAGGACUGUCUCCUUAAAGGGACAGCUGCAUGGGGACCUGCACUGUGUGUCCCAGGCCAGUCUCAGCAUCACACUGAUGGUUUCAUUAAUGUCAAUACCUCAUCUAUGAUUGCUAAGCCUAAGUUGUUCCCAGGCCUAGAGCUUUUUUGUUUGAGACAGGCUCUUACUAUUCAGCCCCUACUGGGCUGGAUGGACCUUGUAGACCAGGCUGGCCUCAUGUGUGCCAGCAUGCUCCAUGGGACCUUAAGUUUUAUUACAUAGACUUUAAAGACCUACAUGAACAUCAGGAUACUGCCAGGGAAGAUUGAGAUCAGGAUAUUAUCAGAGCUGAUUGAGAGGUCUGGUCUGAGCACAGCUUACUAGAUGUUUCCUACGUUUUGUUUUUGGUGUUUAGUUUUGGUUUUUUUUUUUUUUUUUUAAGGACAAAAAUCUUACCAUGUUAAACCAACUGGUCUCAAGUGAUCUUCCUUAAUCUCCAAGUAGCUGGAACUACAGGGUGCCAUUGGACCAUCUACAUUUCUUUGUAAUUAAAAUUAUUUUUGGUAUGUGUGUUGUAUUUCUGUGCACCACAUGCAUGCAGUAACCAUGGAGGCCAGAAGAAGGCGUCAGAUCCCCUGAGCCUGGAGUUAAAUGGUUGUGAGCUUCCCUCUAGGUGCUGGGAUUUGAACCUGGGUCCUUUGGGUGAGUGGUUAGUGCUCUUAACAGCUAAAUGAUUUCUCUUCCUCCUCCUCCUCUUCCACUACCACCAUCCCCCACCCCAGGCUGCAUUCUUAAAUCCUCAGCAAUGAAGUGAGGCUGAGUACUUUGUGAGUGAGGGGCACAGUGUAGGACAGGGGAGGGCUGCCCACACCUUUGUGACACUUCUCUUCAUCCUGCAGAGUACACAGCUAUGGUGUCCCGUGACACCCGGGUGCUUGGUGCGCCUCACCGGAGGCUCAGUUACUCUCGGGAGGCAUUGUUCUAGAGUUACUGGACUACUUGAUAUUUCUAUCUCACUGUAAGUCAUAAUGUAUUAAGAUUGUUUUCAGGAAAAUUACUAGUGUGGAGGUUUUUCUGUGUUUUGGUUUUUUGGUUUUGUUUUGGUUUUUUAAAUAUAAUUUGACAUCCUCAUUAAGAAUCGCCUUUCCCCUGGUUUAAUUCCUGUUUUUUUCUCUCGAAUAGACCCUGAAGAAUAGACCCUGAAGACGCUUUAGAUGAAGCAAGCAGCUCUCUCUGGGUUCUGUUUUGUUUUGGUGCUGGGAUGAAACCCUGUACACACAAGGCCGACCCUCUCCUGCUCAGCUCUGUCCCCAGACCUCUGCUAAUGUGGAGAGUUAGUGCCACCUGAGUUUCCCUGGUCUCCUUGGAUUCUGUGUUCUUAUGCUCAACCUACUUAUGCCCAUCCAGGUUAUCACUCCUGUCAGUAGGAGCGGGAGGUGGCGGUGGAGUCUCCCUCUGCUUCUGGCCUUUGGCCACAGGCAAGGCCCUCGGUUGCUGAUGGCGAAGUGUGUUUGAGGAGGCCACUUGAAACCCCUGAGGAGUGAGUGUUUUGCAAAGCGCGUGGGUUUCCAGCAAAGGAACUGUUGCCAUGGUUUCAAAGCAGACCGGUGAACAUACAAGGUGACCAGCCUUUUCACAGGAACAGGCCUCAGAAGGUGACGGCACAAGCCAGGAGGUAACUACAGGAGAAUGUAGGUAGCCAGGAAUGAGGCUAGAAAGCAUCCUGAGGCUCAGGAGGCUGGGGGCCUGUCACAGCCGCAGCUGUGAGGGUGGCAGGUGAGCAGGGCUGGCUGUGGUCCUAGGCUUGUAGAUUUAGUAGCUUUGCGCUCUACUGUGUUUGUAGUUUAGCUCUGCUGUGUGAUUUAAACUUAGCACUCCAGAUUCCAAGUGCUUGGCCAUUGUUAUUUCUCUGCCCCCAUAUGUAAUGCAUAGUGAUCUGAGGGAGUUGGAAUGGAGUCUGAACUGCAGAACAUAUGGAGGACAUACGGCUCCUUUAUUUUGUUUUAUUUUGGGGACAGGGUCUCACUGUGUGUAGCUCUGAGUGUCCUGGAACUCACUCUAUAGACCAGGUUGGCCUCGAACUCAGAGAUCUGCUUGUCUCUGAUCCCCAGGUAUCUGCCUCUAUUGAUUUUAGUUGUUGGCUGUGGGUUGUUUGUUUGUUUGUUUGUUUUUUGGUUUGGUUUGGGUUUUUUUUUGGGGGGGGGGGUUGUUUUUGUUUUUGUAGCCCAGGCCAGCUUUGAACUCAUGAUCUUCAUGUGUUGGCCUCUGAAGUACUGGGGUCACAGGACAGGCAUAUGCCAUCACACACAGCCACUAAAGGUUAUAGGUGUUUCAUUGCAGAUGAGAGGUGUUUGUCACAUUGGAUAAACCCCUCCUGUGUUCUGGGAAUAAAUCCAUGGUUGUAUUCUUGAGCAAUGAAAGUUUUGAAUGGUGUUUUCCUGUCACCACUACAUCUGUGGCUGAGUUACCAUCCUGUCCACUACAGCCUACAUGCAUCACACACACACACACACACACACACACACACACACACACACACAGAGUUUUGAUUGCAGUGAACUGAAGUUUCUUUUUCCCAGUUGUGGUUGUUGGUUGUUUUCCAUGUAUUAUGGUGGGCCCUAGUUACUUACACUGAGAUGAUGUGAUGCUCUUUGGGUUGAGGAUGUACCUAGAAGCCUUUUAACCAGUGGUCUUGUUCCUUAUGUGACUCAACUCUUGGGGUUCCUGCAGUCACAGCUGAGGGUCCUGUCACCCCUGUGUUGAAUUAAUCCUUUGCUCAUCUUACAGGAUGUGUUCUGACUCCCCCCAUUUCUGAGGGCUUGUAAGGCCCAAGCUCUCUGAGUACCUUUCGGGUUGGGACUUAAAUGACCGUACCUAGUCCCUCUGCUGUGAGUAAGUCUGCUUUCCACCCAGUGGGGAGCUGAAGGGAGGCUGGGAGAGAAAGGGGUACCAGCCAGAGCUGGGGUGUGGGUAGACAGGGAUGGAGAUGAUGGGGUCUGCAGGGACCAGCCUACCUGGCAGUCCACAAACCUCAGUGUGUGUGUGUGUGGUGUGUGUUUAUGUGUACAUAUGGGCCUACUAUGUGUUUGUAAAUGUGUACAAGGGAUAUGUGUGUGCUUACUGUUUGUGUAUGUGAUCUGGGUUUGGUUGGUUGGUUGGUUGGUUGGCUGGUUGGUUUGUUUUUCUAGACAGGGUUUCCCUGUGUAGCACUGGCUGUCCUGGAACUCACUCAGUAUGUGUGUACACAUGAGUCUACCAUAUGUAAAUGUGUGCAUAUGAGCCUUCUACAUGUUUAGAUGUGAGUGAAUCUACUGUGUGUACAUGUAUGUCUAUGAGCCUAGUAUGUGUUUGUAUAUGUGUUCAUAUGGAUUACUGUGUAUUUGCAUAUGUGUGUGUGUGAACCUGUGGUGUGGGUGUGACUGUAAAGUAGAGCAGACUGCUCAGAUUUCUGGGUGUGAGUGGAGAGGACUGUCUUCUCAGCUUGGCCUGACCCAGGCUCUCUGGGCAGGUUACACCUCAGAUCCUCAGUUUCCCACCUGGACCCUGUGGAGAAUAUGGAUUCCUGAGCCUCUUUAGACUCACAGAAGGAGAUCCCCAGUCCUCCCCAUGACUCAAAGAGGACUGCAGGGUUUAUAGGGUGCUCUGUGCACCCUGCGGCUCUGGGACCUUCAUGACUCCCCUCGUUGGAACCUGGACGGCAUGCUAGAGCUCAAAAACACCAGAGAGCUGAUGGGGACACUAUUUCCGGAUGGACUUAUAUUUCCAAACCAAGGCAGUGCCCUGGAAGACUCCUGCUGUGACCACAAGCUCAGAGAAUGGAAGGCAGGUGGGCUCAUCUGUGUGACAUAGGUGGCUAGGACCCAGCAGAUUUGGAGAACCCCGCUUGCUGCACUUGAGUUAGCCCAAGUGUUGAAAGCUCCCUUAGUUCUGAGACCUGUUUGUGAGUUAUUGGCAUAAAGUUGGAAGCUGUGGGAAAAGUAUAAAAGGAGAGAAGCAUCCCGCCCCUCCCCCACCCUCUCGCCCACCCCACCCACCCUCACCCACCCACCUCCGCCACACAGAGGCAGCCCUCGGUGGCUUAGGAAGUGUCAACUCAUACAGAACUUACUGCACCUGACCCUGUCUCAGAGCAAGUGGGCUGUGACUUGUGGUUCAUUUUUUGGGUCUGAUUUCAUGCAUGCACUUCUCAUGUAGGGUGGGGAACACGCACUUGGAGGCAGGGGGACAUGAGUCCCCUGGAGCCUUUGGCAGGACAGGCAGGAGUGAGCUUGGGAGGGGCACGGAGCCGCCGCAGGUGUUUCUUUUCCUGACCGCGGCUCAUGGCCGCGCUCAGGUUUUGCUUUUCACCUUUGUCUGAGAGAACGUGAGCAGGAAAAAGCAAAA